GAUGAACGCUAGCUACAGGCUUAACACAUGCAAGUCGAGGGGCAGCGGGAUUGAAGCUUGCUUCAAUUGCCGGCGACCGGCGCACGGGUGAGUAACGCGUAUCCAACCUGCCCAUCACUUGGGGAUAACCUUGUGAAAGUAAGACUAAUACCCAAUGACGUCUCUAGAAGACAUCUGAAGGAGAUUAAAGAUUUAUCGGUGAUGGAUGGGGAUGCGUCUGAUUAGCUUGUUGGCGGGGUAACGGCCCACCAAGGCGACGAUCAGUAGGGGUUCUGAGAGGAAGGUCCCCCACAUUGGAACUGAGACACGGUCCAAACUCCUACGGGAGGCAGCAGUGAGGAAUAUUGGUCAAUGGGCGAGAGCCUGAACCAGCCAAGUAGCGUGCAGGAUGACGGCCCUAUGGGUUGUAAACUGCUUUUAUAAGGGAAUAAAGUGGGAGUCGUGACUCUUUUUGCAUGUACCUUAUGAAUAAGGACCGGCUAAUUCCGUGCCAGCAG
rnacentral:rRNA from 1 species